rnacentral:rRNA from 1 species
ACCAGACUCCUACGGGAGGCAGCAGUGAGGAAUAUUGGUCAAUGGCCGGAAGGCUGAACCAGCCAAGCCGCGUGAAGGACGAAGGUGCCAAGCAUUGUAAACUUCUUUUGUCAAGGGACAAAAUCAGGCUCGAGAGCCUGACCGAGGGUACUUGAAGAAAAAGCAUCGGCUAACUCCGUGCCAGCAGCCGCGGUAAUACGGAGGAUGCGAGCGUUAUCCGGAUUUAUUGGGUUUAAAGGGUGCGUAGGCGGUCCGGAAGGAGAGGGGUAAAGGGCGGGGGCUCACCCCGGGCGAGCCGUUGAAACUGUCGGACUAGAGACGGCGAGAAGUACGCGGAAUGCGUGGUGUAGCGGUGAAAUGCAUAGAUAUCGCGCAGAACUCCGAUUGCGAAGGCAGCGUACCGGCGCCGGACUGACGCUGAGGCACGAAAGCGUGGGUAUCGAACAGGAUUAGAUACCCGAGAA